ensembl:lncRNA
GUGAGCACUCCUUUGGAAAAGACAAAGUCCUUCCUCCAGUGUGUGGAGUCUGAAAGCAAUCUGGACCUCUGCAGAUGUGAAAAGUGAAGAGGAAAAUGACUCAUUCAGAUCUGGACCUCAGUGAAAGGAUGGAGUGUGAUGAAGGAGUCCUUUGGAACACAGGUUCAUUUAUGCAGCCCUGGUCUGUGUGAGUCAGACAAGUGAGAGACUUACAGCAAAACAAGAUCUCCAGGCCUCUCCUGCUGAAUGUCCAUGAGACACCAAUGGCUUUUGGUACUUGCACAUUCUGUGCCUGCAUCCUCAUCCAGUGCAAGACAAGCACAAGAAGCACUCUGACUAUAUUUGCUGUGAGCUUCAGCCUCUCAAGAACAUCACGAUACUGUUUGUGAAAAUCGUUCCAUGGGUCUGAAGAGGAGGCAUUUAUGAAAAAAGACACUUUCAAAUACAGUCAGAUGUGCAACAACUCCCACAUGCAGAAGAGGAAUUCAUCUUCAGCAGGCAAUUAACAGGGGCCAAUAAGUUGCAAAGAGUGAUUUAGAAAUUUGGCUUGGGGCUUAGCCAAAGGGAAUCAAGUUAUGGGAAGGUAGGAUGACUGCUAAAGACUUAAGGUUUUUAAGAGCCAGUAUCUGAUCAAAGGAACAUAAGGACUGGGAAAAUGUCAGGAUCUUGGAUAGUCUUAGUAAAACAAAGGAGAGUGGAUUAGUCUUGAAGACCCUUGACACUAAGUCACAAAAGUUUAUGAAAGGAGGGACUAAGAUCAACAUUACUUGCGACCUCUGUCUGCUGUUCCUUAGCUUUGCACCUCCAUAAGGAGCCUGGCUCCUUCUCCCUGGUGGUAUUUUGGGUACUGUGUGCUGCUCUUGGGUCCCCCUGGCUGAACAAGCCCAACUCUCAGGUCAAGUGCUCCUGCUCCAGUGCCCUCCCAUCGUGGAUGUCUUUUCCUGAGCACAUCCUGGGGAUUCCUUUCUUAUAUUGAACCAUUACUGAAAUCAACACUGGGGCUCAACCUGAUGAGCACUGACUGAACAGGGAUAAUCCUUUUGCUCACCGUGGUCCUGCUGAUAAAUUCCUGUAUAUUUUUGGCAUUCCUGCUCUUGUACAUCUGCUGCCUUCCAGGACUCCCAGUUGUUUUUUUUAGCAGGACUGCUCCCCAGCCAGUCAAACCUCAGCCUGUCCUGGUGCA